GCUUUCUUGCCGUGAUGGCCGCCGCCGAGGCAGGGAGUUGAGGGUUUCUGCCUUUCGGAGGGUUUGGGGGGCUGUCGGUCCCGUUAGAAGGCCACCAACAGCCCCCCAGGUUGCCAAGGGCCUGUUAGUUGUGUUCCUGGAAGGUGGGCAAGCAGCCUGAUGGGUUAACAUUGGGAUUUGCCGUCGUUAUAGCGGUCAAGGGGCCUGUAGCGGCUGCAGGGUCGGUGAGGGUUCCCAGCCGGCCGGACCUUGGUCGUCUGGCAUUCUGCCUUUGAAAUAUCUGGGUGGCCGGCGCCUAGGCAUAUGGGGUUGUGCUUUCUGUGUUGUGGUUUGUAGCUUGCAUCCUCCACUGUUCUUAGCGCAUUUGGCUCUGUCCAUAUGGCUGUUGGUACUCAUGGCCCUAUUUGGGGUUGGACUGGGCUCUUUUUCUUGGGUCUGGUGGGAUUUAAGCAAGAACUGGAAUUUUGUAAGAUGUACAGCAGUGUCCUGGGUGUUGUCUGUCUGGUGUGGGGUGUGAGCAGUUGCAGGAGUUAUGAACGUGUCCAUGAUCGUGUGGUUGGCUUUCCCUUGCAUGUGGUGAACUUUCCCCUCGUUUGCUAAUGCUGAAAGGCAGUGUCAGGCAGUUCCUACUUGUGAAAUGCCUUCUUAUUAACUUGGAUGUGUUCCUAAAUCUUGGGAGCUUUGCAAUUGCUUGUAGAAAGAUAUGUGUGCAAAACUGAAUUUAAAACGAGCACCAGGGUUGCAGGUACCUUUAGUUCUAGGGAGCCAGCUCCCCCAGGCUUCCCUGGUGCUGUGAAGUUGUUUGAGUUUAUUUAUGGAAAUUAGGUUUGCUUUGAGCUGUGUUACCUUACUCUUGGCUCAGAGUUUCUCUGCAUGUUGGGACCCUGAUCUUUGAUAUUGGGUACUGUUUCAACAUUUGAGGCUAAAUGAAGCACCGUGUACUGAUGUGUAAUGUCGUGUAUCACAAUCUCAGGAUAACACUAGAUAGCCAAGAAUGGCAGUACCUGUUUUGUCUGUCUACACGAAUUGGACCUCAUUGUUUCUGCCACAAUGUACUGCUCCAUAAAUUCCGCCUUAUUUCCAUGGUAUUGUCUGUAAGUUUUGAAAUCUAACUGGUCAUGAAAAGCCAUUUUUCAGGCAGUAUUUAAAAGCUUUUUCCCACAAGUAGAACUGGUAUCUAAAACAUUUUUUCAUUCAAGUUUGGUAAGGUGGGAGAUUUGAAAUAAGGUACAACAGUGGUUUUGGAAAUCAGCUAUCAAGUUUUAGUUUUAGGGGCCACCACGUGACAGAAAUGAUUUAUAGAGAGAGUAAAAAUUGUAUUCCAUUUCUCUUGGUAUUUUAGUGCAUAUAAAAACUAAAUAAACCACUUUCAUAUAUCAUUAAAAA
rnacentral:lncRNA from 10 species